rnacentral:rRNA from 1 species
AGCGAACGUUUGCGGCGGGCCUAACACAUGCAAGUCGAACGCACUAGCAAUAGUGAGUGGCGCACGGGUGCGUAACACGUGGGUAAUCAACCCUUCAGCUUGGGAUAACGACUUGAAAGGGUCGCUAAUACCGGAUACGGCGCGGGAGGCUUCGGCUUCUCACGAGAAAGCCUCGCAAGGGGCACUGAAGGACGAGCCUGCGGCCCAUCAGCUAGUUGGUGAGGUAAGAGCUCACCGAGGCGAAGACGGGUAGCUGGUCUGAGAGGAUGAUCAGCCACACUGGAACUGAGACACGGUCCAGACUCCUACGGGAGGCAGCAGUGGGGAAUAUUGCGCAAUGGGCGAAAGCCUGACGCAGCCACGCCGCGUGAGCGAUGAAGGCCUUCGGGUCGUAAAGCUCUGUGGGGAGAGACGAAGAAAGACCCGUGAAGAGCGGGCCGUUGACGGUAUCUCCUUAGCAAGCACCGGCUAACUCCGUGCAGCAGCCGCGGUAA